GGAAACAGAAACAAACUGAUUAAUUUCAUCAGAAUCUACUCUGGGAAUAAUGUACUUUUAAGAAAGCCAGUGUCAGCAUCAGAUUCAGCCUUUCAAUCACAUGAACUGAUAUCAUUUUAACGUCUAGCUGAAGAGAAUGAAGUCAGAAAUGGAAAGUGCUGACAUGUGGGAAGUCUAAAAAUGCCUGCUUCUUUGUUAAAGCACCACCUUGGAAUUAGCCAUAUCCCAGAGAUACACCUUUUCUGGCUAUUUUCAUGUAUUAAUUUUAUGAUCUGGGCUGCACAUACCUGCCAUGGGAAGUCUUGGUCCAGUGCUGACGCAGCACAGACUGGUGGGUAGUUCCAUGUCUCAUUCUGCUCUUCUGAUCCGUGUCUCAUGAACCCAGCUAUGGAAGGCAAAGAUCAAAAAGAAAGAAGCAGAGCGACUUCUCAUUUUUGCCCCAAGUACAUGCUCAUGCACACCUGUGCUCUACGACUGCCUCGGCUGGUCCAAGCCCACGCUCCAGUGCCUCAUGCACUAGCCUUACAAGCUUCUUUCAAAACUGACUCUCCAAUGUUGUACAGCUGCUCUAUUAUCCUUAUUUGACUAAUAAGUUCAUUAUUAUAAUUUUUACUGUAUUUUUAUCAAUGACAAAAAGAAAAACAAAAAAGGACUAUAGUUUGGUUUCUCAAUCUCCAUGAAGUUGAAGUUUUCCAUCUUUAGGACUGCUUUUACUGAACCACCAAAAUUGCUAAAGUAUAAAAUAUAAAAUAUACCAGAGAAAGUAAACAUGAAAAUUCCUUCAUCCAGAUUUCAUGCAAAUACAAUUUAUUAAUGAGUGAGGCCCAAAUUGUUUUUAUACUGGGAAAAAUCUGGAAGCAAUCAUGUGUGAAGCACAGUUUCAAAACAAGAGACUCAAGGUUAAUAAAAUACUAAAAUCAGGACAUUUUUUAAAUAAUUACCUCUAUACAGAGGCAUAAAAAUUUUCUAAAUAAAUGGUUUCAAUAUAUAAGACAUUGUAAUGUGAUAUAAAAUACUGAUACAUAUCACUGUCUUCUAGAGAUAGUGAAAUAAGCAUGAUUUAUAAAAUACAUGAGGUCCAAUGUUUAUCACAGCACUAUUUACGACAGCCAAGAAAUGAAAGCAACCUAAGUGUCCAUCAGUAAAUGAAUGGAUAAAGAAGAGAUGGUACAUUUACACAAUGGAAUAUUAUUCAACCAUAAGAAGAAAAUAAAUCCUACCAUUUGCAACAACCUGGAUGGAGUUGGAGGACAUUAUGCUCAGUGAAAUAAGCCAGGCAGAGAAAGACAAGUAUCAAAUGAUUUCACUCAUCUGUGGAGUAUAAGAACAAAGAAAAACUUGAAGGAACAAAAUAGCAGAAUCACAAAACCCAAGAAUGGACUAACAGUUACCAAAGGGAAAGGGACCUAACCAACUCUUCAUCUGGUUCAGGAAUAGCUUACACAGACUCAAAUGAAAGAAACAAUACAGUGUGAACAUUCUGAGUAUUUUUAAAUCUUUUCCAGCACCAAACACUGCCAAAUAGCUAGUUUAUAAAGUGAGGUGUGAACACACAGAAAAAGCAGCAUUCAAAUAAUGGUGUCCUAAUUGGUAACAUGUAUUUUGGAUAAAAUAUUGGCAUUUUCUGCUUGCUUAUUGUAGGGAGAGGUUUAUAAAACCAGAGUGGAGAAAACGUAAAAUUCGUUUCAAAAUUUCUUAAUUUCAGCCCUUAAAAUACAUCUCUUCUAAUAAAGCGCAUCACAUGAGUCUUAAGAGUAAGAACCUCAUGUGAGAGCUGCAGAGAGCUUGUUGACUGCAGCUGCGGCUUGUCAACCCCCACGUGGCCCAAAACAGUUUCUCUGUGGUGAGCAUGAGGGGCCCAUUGGGUUCUCUGAUAUAACACAGGAAGGUGACAAAUUGGUCACUUCUUGAAGUCUAAAGCUCAAGUAUUUUUACUAAGCAUCAUCAAAAUAGCACUAAGCGUCUUUCUUGACCUUUAGACAAAAAAUAUCUACGAUGUAAAGCUCUGUGGUUCAUAUCUGUUGAUGCAGUUGGGGUAUAGAAAAGACAAGGGAAGUAGAAGGUCCCCUAAGAAUGAUAAGACACAUCAGUACACAAACAGAAGAUUAUUUGAGUCAGUAAAAGCCUGUCAGUCUAGAGAAUUUGCCUUUUAACUUUUGCACUAAAUUCUCGUCCACUGGGACUCAAUCAAUACACACAUUUCCAAGAUCUAGUAGUCUAAAAUGAAUCUGAGAGUCAUAGAAGAGGAUUAUUGUUAAAAUUUUAUAAUUGAUUCCACAGCUAUCUUUUAAAAUUUUUAUUGAAGUAUAGUUGAUAUACAGUAUUAUAUUUCAAGUACACAACACGGUGAUUCAACAGCUGCACAAAUUAUUAAACUCUCACCCCAACUAGUACAGUUACCAACCGUCAACAUAGGAAGAUGUUAUAGAAUCAUUGACUGUAAUCUCCAUGCUGCACGUCCAACCUUGUGACCAACUUAUAUUAUGUAUGAGAUUUUGUGCCCCUUAAUCCCAUCUACCCACCCAUCCCUCCCCAUGGUAACCACCAGUCACUUUUCAGUGUCUCUGAGUCUACUGCUGUUUUGUUAGUUAAGUUUUGUUUUAUUUUUAUACUCCAUGAAUAAGUGAAAUCACAUGGUAUUUGUCUUUUUCCACCUGGCUUAUUUCACUUAGCAUAAUGCCCUCUAGGUCCAUCCAUGUUGUUGCAAAUGGCAAGACUUCUUUCUUUUUAUGGCUGAAUAAUAUUCCAUUGGGUAUAUGUACCACCUCUUCUUUAUCCAUUCACCUAUCAAUGGACACUUUGGUUGCUUCCAUAUCUUGGCUGUUUUAAAAUUCCCCUACCUUUUUAGUAGAAAACUAGUCUAUAUUUAUUUAGUUAUUUGUUUGUUUGUAAUGUGAAUCAAGUUGACACAAAAAUAAGUAAUAGUUCAAGUGGUACACAGAUUUGCCUCUCCCCACCAAAAAAGAAAGAAAAAUCAUGGUUGGUUCAAAUACAACUGGACUCAAUGAUAAUGAUGCCUAGCAUUUUAUUUUCCUAUAAAUUGACAACAUUUUCAUAAUAUAUAUAUUAUAUUUAAUAAUUAUCUAUAAGACAGACAAUUUGGGGGUUUACUACAUUGCAAAAUUUGUUAGAUAUUUUGCAUAAUUUACC